CAUGAAGCCGGAAUCGCUAGUAAUCGCGGAUCAGAAUGCCGCGGUGAAUACGUUCCCGGGUCUUGUACACACCGCCCGUCACACCAUGGGAGUCGGAAAUGCCCGAAGUCUGUGACCCAACCUGAGAGGGAGGGAGCAGCCGAAGGCAGGUCUGAUGACUGGGGUGAAGUCGUAACAAGGUAAC
rnacentral:rRNA from 1 species